GCGUUGUUCGGAAUUACUGGGCGUAAAGCGCACGUAGGCGGAUUUGUUAGUCAGGGGUGAAAUCCCGAGGCUCAACCUCGGAACUGCCUUUGAUACUGCAAGUCUCGAGUCCGGAAGAGGUGAGUGGAAUUCCUAGUGUAGAGGUGAAAUUCGUAGAUAUUAGGAAGAACACCAGUGGCGAAGGCGGCUCACUGGUCCGGUACUGACGCUGAGGUGCGAAAGCGUG
rnacentral:rRNA from 1 species